rnacentral:rRNA from 1 species
CCUGGUGGCGAGUGGCGAACGGGUGAGUAACAUAUCGGGACGUACCCUAUCGUGGGGGGAUAACUAUCCGAAAGGAUAGCUAAUACCGCAUACGACCUGAGGGUGAAAGCGGGGGAUCGCAAGACCUCGCGCGAAAGGAGCGGCCGAUAUCGGAUUAGCUAGUUGGUGGGGUAAAGGCCCACCAAGGCGACGAUCCGUAGCGGGUCUGAGAGGACGACCCGCCACACUGGAACUGAGACACGGUCCAG